UUAUAUUAUGUUUUUUUUUUGAAAUAAAAGGCUGAUAUUUAUUCAUCACACGGCUCAAGGUGGUAGAAAGAUUACAGCUAAAAAAACAACGAAAAGACCAUUCAGCAGUAGACCAAACGGCCAAAAUAAUAAAAUCCGCCCCUAGAAAAGUAAAACCAUAAAUGUAAAGAAAACAAAACCCUCUAAACCAAGAAAAUGAAUCAGAUAGCCAGCAAAAUAUCAGCCAAACAGCUUCCUUAACCACAAAAAAGAUGAUAAAAAAACAAAAGGAAACCCAAAAGCUUUGAGUCCAACCAUGGAGAUUCAAAGAACCUUCUCUAUUUUCAAAGCAAUCUACAGCAAACUUUGUUGUCUCUGUGCCCAAACUCUCUAAUCUUUCUCCCCCAACAUUUUGACAUAAUUUGGGACUUCAUCAACCCAAAAUCCAAAGCGUUGUCUUCUCCUACCUUCCAUCGCCAAGGUAUAGGCCACACCAUUAACCAAACGGGGAACAAAGAGGUAACAUAUUUCUUCAAAACAUUUUUCCAGAUGAUGAAUGUAAUGAAUAACAAGUCUGAUAAUCGAUCUGUCUUCUUCUUUUACCUUGAGUUUGUUAAUAACCGUUAAGGAAUCUCCUUCCACCAACAAACAAUGAAAACCCAUGUUAAUCGCAAAAAGCAACGCUCUUUCACACGCCCUCGCUUCAGCCACGAACGCAUCAACUACAUCAUUAAACAGAUCAGUUUCUGCUCCUACAUAUUCCUCUUUAUAAUCUCUGGCUAUUACCGUAGAUGUAGAAGUUCUUGAGUCACUUCGAAAUGUUGCAUCAAAAUUUAUUUUAAUGACACCCAAAUCUACUGGACUCCAAAGUGGUUCUGAUAAUGAUCUGUAAAAAACUCCCAUCUUUUUUUGACAUUGGCUUAACUCUUGACUAUAUCCAAGAAUAAAGCCAAGAAAAUCCUGCAGAGAAAAUUUAAUACCUUCAUGGAUUAGCUUAUUUCUUUUGUACCACAAAGCCCAUAUAGAGAUAGCAAUAAGAUACUUGCUUUGUUCAUCUACUAUACAAAAAGUAAUAACAAAAAGAUUUUUGUAGCUCAAACUACUAUCAAUAGGAGCAGUUUGAAUUUGAAAGGACGUAUAUACUCUUUGAAGGACUUCGCAGGACCAUAAAAUGUGAUCCGUGUCUUUUAGUGGCUUCUUGCAAAAGAGGACAAGAAACAUCAACCCUCAGAGUUCUAUGUGACAAAUUACUGUAGUGGGGUAGAAAUUUGUUAAGUAAUUUCCAUAAGUGUAUUUUAAUUUUUUCAAGAAUGUGCAUAGGCCAAAAAAACUUGUAAAAGUCCUUGUAAAUCUCAAAAUUAGGCGUGAUGUAACUAUUACUCUGUAGAUAAUCUGUAACUAGGACCCGAUACUCACUUCUUAUAGAGUAUUCCCCAGAACCCUCAUAUUUUUAAACCAGCAUAUCCUCCGACCUAGAAUCAGUAAGCGGGAUGGAAAGAAUAUGAUUUGCCUACUCAACAUCAACAAUAUUAAGAAUCAGCUCCUUGUUCCAAGUAUUAGUAUCUUCCUCAAUGAGUAGGUUAACAGUCGUCCAAUUAAGAGAUAUGUGUUGAACUGAAACUCGAUCUUUCUCAAUUCCAGGUAGCCAAGGGUCGUUCCAUAUAUUAACGCAAGAACCAUUACCAAUUCGCUAUAGAAUUUCGUUGGCAAUUAGAUCCCGAGCACUACAAAUGCUCCUCCAAGUAAACGAAGG
rnacentral:lncRNA from 1 species